GUGGGGAUCUGAACUUCUUUGGUAUAUUUAACUAUGUGUUAUAUGAGGGUGUGGGGCAUGAUCUCCAAUGCCAAACCCUUAUAGUUGAAUCGAAAAGGUCUUGUCAUAGCAAUCAAGCAUAAUUUAUGAUUUUAGGUGUUAUAUAAAAUAAAAUAAUUUAUUGUCAAUGGUCAUGGUCAGAGAUAAUCUUCUAUGGUAAACAACACAUCGUCUUGAGAUGUCGCCCCAUUGGCAAAUAUAAAAAAUACAUAUAAGGUAAAAGUUAUAUACUGGACAUGGAAAUCAAAAAUAAAAUAAUCCUGUAUUUUGAUAUAGAGGUCAAAGGUCAAACAAAGUCACAUGAAGGUCACGAUGAUAUGCAACAUUUCGUCCUAAAGUACUAUACGUUCAGGCCAAAUAUCUUGGUUAAAGAUAAGC
rnacentral:lncRNA from 1 species